rnacentral:rRNA from 1 species
AUGUACCAUCUCCUCCUCCUCCUCCUCGUCCUGCUCCCCUUCGCCACAGCCGACGCCCACGCCGCCGCUUUCUGCAGCAACGCCACCUGCGGCGGCCAGAGCAUCGCCUACCCGUUCUGGCUCGCCAACUCCGGGCCCAACUGCGGCUACCCGGGCCUGGGCGUCUCCUGCAACGAGAACACCCCGAUCCUCGACGUCCAGUUCCACCAGUACAGGGUCCUGCGCAUCGACUACGCCAACCGCGCCGUCUCCCUCGCCGACGUGGACGCCUGGAACACGACCUGCCCGCGGCUCAGCUUCAGCCUCUCCGUCGACCCCCGCUCAUCGCUGCAGCUCACGCCCUCCAACUCCAACCUCACCCUGCUCUACAACUGCAAGGCCGGCGUCUCCCGGCCCUCCGCCGUGAAACUCGACGGGUGCCCGGAACAGAGCAUGGCCUGGUACGUGCUCCCUGAUGACGACGGGGCCACGGGCGACGCGCGCGCGUACGGGUGCGAGGAGGCGGUGACGACGCCGGUGCUGAUGAGCCCGCGUCGUCCGGCGAACCCGUCGCUCCGUGAGGCGCUCAGCGGUGGGUUCCAGAUGCGUUACGAUGAUCGGUCCGAGCGGUGCGGCGCAUGCGAGCAGUCCGGCGGACGGUGCCGAUACGGGCGCAUCGAGGAGCACGGCGGGACGGGCUUCGCGUGCGUCUGCGACGAUGGCGCGAACAAACUCCGGUGCGGGGAUGCACUCUCCUUAUGCUUGAAGAGACAAAAAUUGUGUAAGACACAUCUCUUAUUCUCAAGUCCAUCAUUUUGCUUCUCCCUUGUGGUCAUAUAA